GAACCGAGCUGUGCUGUCGCGCGGUAUGUCGCCGAAAGGUAUUACCGUGAGGAAAGUCCGGGCACCGCAGUGCAGGAUAACGGAUAACGUCCGCCGAGGGUGACCUCAGGGAAAGUGCAACAGAAAUAAACCGCCCGCCCGUUUUCGGGAAGGUAAGGAUGGAAAGGCGAGGUAAGAGCUCACCGGCACAUUGGUAACUUUGUGCGUCACUGUAAACCCUAUCCGGUGCAACACCUGCGCAAACCGGCAGAAAUGCCGAUGUCUGCACGGCAUAUGCUUUGUCAGGUGGCACAGAGCCGUACGGCAACGUACGGACAAGAUAGAUGACAGCUCGAGGUCGGCAAAAUUUCCGCCGACCCGGACAGAACCCGGCUUACAGGCUCGGUUUCGGA
rnacentral:RNase_P_RNA from 1 species